rnacentral:tmRNA from 1 species
UAACUUUGAACCGCGGACCAAAACCCCUAUAUUAGAAGUGUCGGGAAACCGACUACGGUGCUAAACGGGCACGCGGAAUAAGCGCAGCGGACCCGGGGGCAGUACCCGGCGCCUCCACCAGUUUCCUCCCGCGCCCAGCGGGAGCCUCAUGGGGGCGAAACAGGAUCGACGCGCGUGGUAAAGGUUUGCUCGGCGCCCGGCAUGGUACCGCCGUUAUCGGGCCGUUCUAUAGUUGCGAAUGACAACUAUGCUGAGGCGCGCCUCGCUGCCUAAGGGCGGCUGGUAAGCCUAAACUAAGUCCCCGGCCGUCAGACGUCGGGGCGGGGUUCGGGGCGCACCUGGCAACAGAAGCGCCCCACC